AGCAGCCGCGGUAAUUCCAGCUCCAAUAGCGUAUAUUAAAGUUGUUGCAGUUAAAAAGCUCGUAGUUGAAUUUCGGGAUCAAGGAAUCGGUCAUGCCUCGGUAUGUACUGGUUUUAUUGGUUCUCACCUUCUAAAGAACCAUGAUGUCAUUCAUUUGAUGUUAUGGGGAAUUAGGACUGUUACCUUGAAAAAAUUAGAGUGUUUAAAGCAGGCUUACGCUUGAAUACAUUAGCAUGGAAUAAUGAAAUAGGACAUCAGAUUCUAUUUUGUUGGUUUCUAGGAUCGAUGUAAUGAUUAAUAGGGAUAGUUGGGGGCAUUAGUAUUCAAUUGUCAGAGGUGAAAUUCUUGGAUUUAUUGAAGACUAACUACUGCGAAAGCAUUUGCCAAGGAUGUUUUCAUUAAUCAAGAACGAAAGUUAGGGGAUCGAAGACGAUCAGAUACCGUCGUAGUCUUAACCAUAAACUAUGCCGACUAGGGAUCGGAUGAUGUUUAUUUUUUCAAUGACUCAUUCGGCGCCUUA
rnacentral:misc_RNA from 1 species